CUGCUUAGGGCCCUUUGUGGAUGCAGCAGAGGAAACCGGCUCACAGGACCUGCCUUCUUAGGCCGAGAAGAGGGAGCUGGGCCAGAAGAGGCCCUUCUCAGGGUGCCCUGAGAGUGAGCAGACAUGUGUCCAGCCUUCACUGUCCAUUCCUGCUGAAGGGGACAGCCACAGCCUGCUGCUGCUCAAGGCCUCCACGGUGCUGCAGGGCCAGCUAUCUCAGGACCCUGGAUUCCUGGAAUUGUCUGACAGAGUGGAAGUCUGUUCUCCAUCCCCUGACAAGCCGCACACUCCAAAACAGGACUGUCUUCAGUGACGAUUCUUUUUGUCACCAGUGAAGCUGGCCUUGUCCAGAGAGCAACAUGGUCUCAGCUAGUCAACCCUCCUGGCAGCUGUCAGUCUGGAGCUUGGUGAUCCUCAUUGCUUAACCUUCCGAGCCUGCUCUGUUGUCCUUUGUGGACUUAGAUUCUAGUUCGUAUUGAUUUUUGGUUUCCUUACCAAAACUCGCACAGAUGAUGACCUUUGCCUUGUUUCAGACUUCAUGUAAAUGUAACCGUGGUGCAAAGGAGAGAGCUCAGCCUGAAAAGCCAUUGUUAAAUUCAAUCCCAGCACCCAUGUAGAGACCUGUGUGGCAGUGCUGGCUUGAACCUCUGUGUUGGGGAGUCGGGGACAGUGAGAUCCCUGGCAUGGCUGGCUAGCUCCAUUAGUGACUGGCAGGUCCAGUAGAAGGUAUGCACUCCACCAACUAAGCUAUACCCCAAUCCCCCAUUCUUCAAGUUUAAGGCAGGGGGUUUCACUAUGUACCCCAGGCUGGCUGAAACUCUCAUUCCUCCUGCCUCAGUUUGUAGAAUGUGGAUUGCCGGUGCCACUGCACCAGACUCUACCAGUAUUUGUUAAACAAAGGAUCCAAAGACAACUCGAGGCCAAAACUUGGCUUGAAGUCUGUGUCAGCUGGAUCAUAGACACAAGUGAUCUCAGGCACAGAAGGCAGUGGGGUUAUGAGGAUCCAGAGGUAGCUGUGAGCAGCACCUGUAGAUUGAGGCCACUAGAGAAGAAAGGGGCAAGUCCCUGAGUAUGGUCCUCUCAGGGAGCAGGGUGCAUAGCCUAGUGGCUCAGGGACAGAACACGGGAUCUACAUGGUGAAGGAGAAAACUGACCUCUGAGGGUUGUCUUCUGACCUUCACACACAUAGUCCCCUCUCCAACAGAAUGAAUGAAUAAAUGUUUCAAAAGAAGGGAAGAGAAGAGCAAAUGUGAGCCCUGGGGACAGAAGGUGGCGGUCCCCAUUGUCACCACUUGUAUUACUUCUUGCAUCUGACCCAAUUAUGGAGCACUAACAGGAAGGCGCACUCUUAUUUAAGUGAUUUUGCCCCAUUUCCCUUCAUUUGUCUCUCUUUCUUUUAAUUUAUUUUAGACAGGGUCUCUUGUACCCCAGGCUCUCCUGGAACUCACUGGAAAACUGUGUAUGUAGCCUUGAACGCCUUGGCCUCCCGGCUUCAACUUCCCAAACCUGAGAUGACAGGGGUAUCAACACACCCAGUUUUUCUUUGUAAUUUGAGACAUGGAUUCUCAGCCUGGUGGUAGUAGUGGUUGGUGCAUGCUUUUAAACCCAGCACUAGGGAGGCUGGGGCUGGCACAUCUCUGUGAGUUCCAGAAAAGCCAGGGCUACACAGAGAAGCCCUGUCUUGAAAAAGCAAACGAACAAAUAAACAAACCCCUCCAAAUAAUGAAUUCUUGCUAUAUUGCCCGGAACCUACCCAACUUCCUAGUCUCCCCAGCGGCAGGCCGUUCAGGGAUUGAGUCACUGUGCUAGCCUCCCAUUUGAUCAGCCUGUUGCCUUGGGGAUCUUGCAGGCUAAAUAUUUUCACUCACCCCCUCCCCUGGGCCCCUAAGUCCCCAUCUGACCUCAAACUGGCCUCCUUCCUCCACCUUGUCUACUGUUUACAGAACGCAUCUGCUGACCGGUCAGGUCUUUCUGGACUGUGAGACCCCUUGUCACUGCCUCUCUUCUCUCAGUCUCAAUUUUCUGCAAAUUCAUCUGCAAAAUGUAUUGGCAGAGAGGCUUCAAGGUCCCCUGCCCCCAACUCCAGGUUGUGACAAUCCCUGAUGGCUAAUGGCCAAAGAUCAGGGUUCAAUUUGCUUCUGGGCUUGGAGGUGACAGAAGGACCACAGAACUGGAAAGAUCUGAGUGGCAGGAUUGGAAGGCCUCUAAGAUUAAAUUCUGCCGAGGACCUUCUAACAUGUGGGGGGAGGGGCUGCCUUCCCGUGUCAGGAGAAGAUUUAAGGAACCCCAAAUAUCACCACCCCUCUCCUGACAGGAGAGGGAAGAGUCCAGCUGACUACUUGACAAAGCACGCAGUAGGAGGCACCUGCCCCAGAUUCUGACCUCUGCUAUCCCGAGAGGAGCUGACUUGGGAUAAACAAGUUUUGUUGUUGUAUAGAUAGUGGUUACUUUGUAAUUCGGCCAGUGCUCCAUCUUUACUCACCUCGGAGCCCCUGCUCCAGGGCACUGGAGACUGAACUCCUCCCACUUCACCUGUAAUUCUAGAUUUCACCUCCUACCGAUCCUCUCCUUCACCCUAAGUCUUCGCCAAAAGGAGGGCUGGGAGAGCUCCCUAUACACCGGGAGAGAAGAGAGAGGGGAAAGGGGGAGAUUUGGAGGUGCAGUGCGGAACUUGUAGCAGGCGGGAGCAAAGGGAAGCCACAGAAGCACCAAGCCUUUAGGAGUACUAUGAGGACCAAGUAGACAGCCCUUGCUAAGGUUUGGCCGCGGCGAUGGCAGAGGCGGCGUCUGCGGAAAGCACACUCGCAGACGCACUGGCGGGGACACAGUAGCAGGUCUACAGGCGACAGAGGAAUGUCUGCAAGCUAACGACUUUAAAACAGGGGUUCUGUAGCUACUUAUUGGGACCGGGGAUUUGGAGCCCCGGAGGGAGGAGUUAAAGGGGCGGGACGGGGAGGGCGCGGCCACCUAUCAGGGUCC
rnacentral:lncRNA from 1 species